GGCUUGGUAGCGCUGGGAGCGCGUCUGCGUCUGCUGUGGUUUGUACAACGAAUGCAGAAGGUGCCCGUUCGACUCGGGCCCAAGCCA